rnacentral:tRNA from 1 species
GGAGAGGUGGUCGAGCGGUUGAAGGCUCCAGUCUUGAAAACUGGCGUAGUGCAAGCUACCGAGGGUUCGAAUCCCUCUCUCUCC